rnacentral:rRNA from 1 species
UGGGGAAUUUUGGACAAUGGGCGAAAGCCCGAUCCAGCAAUGCCGCGUGUGUGAAGAAGGCCUUCGGGUUGUAAAGCACUUUUGUCCGGAAAGAAAUCCUUGGCUCUAAUACGGUCGGGGGAUGACGGUACCGGAAGAAUAAGCACCGGCUAACUACGUGCCAGCAGCCGCGGUGAUACGUAGGGUGCAAGCGUUAAUCGGAAUUACUGGGCGUAAAGCGUGCGCAGGCGGUUUGCUAAGACCGAUGCGAAAUCCCCGGGCUCAACCUGGGAACUGCAUUGGUGACUGGCAGGCUAGAGUAUGGCAGAGGGGGGUAGAAUUCCACGUGUAGCAGUGAAAUGCGUAGAGAUGUGGAGGAAUACCGAUGGCGAAGGCAGCCCCCCUGGGCCAAUACUGACGCUCAUGCACGAAAAGCGUGGGGAGCAAACAGGAUUAGAUACCCUGGUAGUCCACGCCCUAAACGAUGUCAACUAGUUGUUGGGGAUUCAUUUCCUUAGUAACGUAGCUAACGCGUGAAGUUGACCGCCUGGGGAGUACGGUCGCAAGAUU